CUUUCCCUCCCUGACUUUCAGGUUCCUCAUCUUCAAAAGAAAGGGGUUGGCCUAGACCUAGAGGAAAGGGCACAGCUCUGGAGUCAGACAGCUGCAGGUCUGCCUCUUGGCUUGGCCACUGGCCGAUGCCUAACGUUGGACAUUCUCUGAGCCUCAGUUCCCUUGCCUGGAAACUCAAGGACCAUAAUACCUUCCUGACUGAGCUAUCCUGAGGAUUCAAGAGAUACUGUUUUCAAAGUGUCUGGCACAUAGUAGCCAGCAUUCAGGAAACUUUUGUUCCUUUCUGGCAUAAGUCCCUUCCAGCCCUAAAACACUCUGGCUCCGAUCCAGUUCCUUUGUCUUCCAAAUCCAGUCCAUGGCUUGGAAAAAGCCCUAAUUCCCAAUCACUGCGGGAGCACACACACCUGAAUUGCUUCUUUCAGUUUUACAAAUGGCCACUAAAACUUUCUUCCUGGGAAGUAUUUGCCCCAAUUCACCAUCUCUUAAGAGUGUAGAGUCACCGCUUUUUCUUCUCUGACUCCACUAGGAAUUCCCUGCCCCCAGGCGUUGAGAAGGGGGCGGGGAAGGGACAGCCCCGGGGCUGAGCUCCUCUCGGCCUCCUAUUCCCCAUCCUCCAGGUGUCUGUUUGCAAAGCCCAAGAUGUAGCAAGUGUUUCCCGUUGAGGAAAGCACAGACCUAGCUCAUCUUCCAGGCUCUGGCUUUGCGAUUUAGUGGAGCCCAAAAUAGGGUCCCUUGGGGGGCUGGUUUCUUGGUGGUUUGACCAACCUGGCUUGGGUUUGUUUGUGGUGGUCCUUUUUUGGGAACUUCUGGUUCUGAACGCCUUAAUUCCAGGGAAGCUUCAGCUAUAUAUUAUAAAUAUAAUGUAACAUAUAAAGUAACAUAAUGUAAUUUUUAUUUAUUUAUAAUAGUAAUAUAACCACAUGACAGAACCUUUGAAAAGCAGAGAAAAAGAAAAUCCCUCCCUAUUCAGUAUUAAUAACUCUUCAACGCAGACACUGGGUAACUAUGCUCUGAUUGACAGUGAGAGGAAAAAACACUUUCUUCCUUACCCCUUGAGUUUGACUGGACUUCCCUCCUGGCUCAGCCGGAACAAAAGCCAAGUUUGUUAUUUGUUCAUUUCUUGCAUUUGAAGUUCUCCCCCUUGACGUCAUCCUUGGCCUGAAACUCUGCUCAAGUCCUUAACUACCACACGACGGCAACCAGCUACUCCAGUUCUGGAGGCCAAGGGUCUGAAAUCAUGGUGUCAGCAAGGCCAUGUUCCUUCUGAAGCUUCUUGGGGAAGAUCCUGUGUUGGGGUUCUCCAGAGAAACAGAACCAAUAGGACCUGUUGAUCCAUUGCUGUAUCAAUCAAUUAAUUAUAAGGAAUAUGGAGGCUGGCAAGUCCAAAGUCUGCUAAGUGGGCUAGCAAGCUGAAGACCCAGGAGAGCUAAUGUCCCAGUUUUGAGUCUGAAGACAGUCUUCUCUAGAACCAGGAAGAUCCAGGGUCUCGGAUCAAAUCAGAAGGCCAUCUCCUAGAGAACUGUCUUUUGGUUAAGGGAGUCUAGUCUUUUUGUUCUGUAUUCAGACCUUCAGCUGAUUAAAUGAAGCCCAUCUAGAGUAUGGAAGGCAACUUGUUUUAUUCUAAUUCCACCAAUUUACAUAUUAAUCUCACCCAAAACACCCUUACAGAAAUACCCAGAAUAAUGUUUGGCUAAAUAUCUGAGUAUCACAUGGCCCAGCCAAGCUGACACAUGAAAUUAACUGUCACACCUUCCUGGCCUCUUCUAGCUUCUGGUGGCUUCAAGCAUUCAUUGUCUUUUGUCUGCAUGGCUCCAAUCUCUGCCUCUAUCUUCACAUGGCUUUCUCCCCUAUGUGUCCCAAAUCUCCCUCUGUCUCUCAUAAGGCCACCUGUCACUGAACUGAGGGCUCCUCCUAGAUACGGGAUGCAUUCAUCUCAAGAUCCUUAGCCUAAUUACAUCUGCAAAGACCCUUUUUCCAAAUAAGGUCACAAUCACAAUUUCUGGAUGUUAGGACAUGGAUGUAUAUUUGGAGGCGGGGGGAACCGUUCAACCCACUACUGUGGAAUUCUGCCAUGGGAAUCUGAGAAGUUCUGGCAUGGCCACUUCCCUAACUUCAGGUUAAAAGAAAAACAAACCAAACAAAACUGCCUCACAAAGACUCCAGACUAUUAAUAAUCAACCCAGUGCAAGGAGGAUUGGACCAAGUUAAUCCAUUUCUGCAAAAUGCCCAAGGAGCCAGAAUGACUUGGAAAUGAAGGACAAAAGGGACCCUCUGAAGAUUCAAAGACCUCUCAGGACAAUUGAUGCCAAGAAAUGGUCUGAGUUGUGGCAUGUGGGAUCUAGUUCCCUGACCAUGGAUUGAAACUGGGCCCCCUUCAUUGGGAGCAUGGAGUCUUAGCCACUGGACCACCAGGGAAGUCCUUGUGCCCAGCAUUUCUGAGAAACAAUCUACAAGUUGUGGCUGGAGCAGAAUGUGUGAGAGGGGAGCAGAAUACGCUGGCAUGAUGGGAAGCCAGACCACGUGGGGCCUUGUGGACCACGGUUAAGACUUUGGCUUUGACUCGGGAUAAAAUGAAGAACUGUGGCAAAGUGUUGAGCAGGAAUGACAUGGUUUGAUCUGCAAUUGAAAUAGUUCAGUCUGGAUGCUGUGUUUUAUGUUUCCUUUUAUUUUUUUAAAGAAAAUUGAAGUAUAGUUGAUUUACAAUAUUGUGUUUCAGGUGUAUAGUAAAGUGAUUCAGUUUUAUAUACAUUUA